GGGAAGAUGGCUCAGUGGCAGAGUGCUUGCCUUGCAUGCAUGAGGCCCUGGGUUC
rnacentral:tRNA from 1 species